rnacentral:lncRNA from 1 species
UAGGAUCACCAUUUAAUAACAAAGAAUAGGAGAUAACUAUUACACAUCUCAUCACCAACUUAAUCCAACCAAUCUUACACAUAAUAGAUUUUAAAAGAUGCCACUCUACCUUAUUAUAUGCUUUGCUCAUAUCAAGUUUAAGAACCAAAUGACCCUUUUUAUCCGAUUUCAUUUUUUCAUAGAGUGGAAAAUCUCAAAAGCUGCCAUGGCAUUAUCAAUUAUCAAAUGUCCCGAAAUGAAACCACUUUGAGCAUUGGAAACGAUAUUAGGUAAAAUCAGCUUAAGUCUAUAUAGCAAUGACUUUAGUGAUAAUG